rnacentral:rRNA from 1 species
CCUACGGGAGGCAGCAGUCGAGAAGCUUCGGCAAUGGGCGAAAGCCUGACCGAGCGAUGCCGCGUGAGCGAAGAAGGCCCUAUGGGUUGUAAAGCUCUGUCAGAUUGGGAAGAAAGCUUCGGGGUUAAUACCCCCGAAGUGUGACGGUACCAUCAGAGGAAGCACCGGCUAACUCCGUGCCAGCAGCCGCGGUAAUACGGAGGGUGCAAGCGUUGUUCGGAUUCACUGGGUAUAAAGGGUGCGUAGGCGGCCUGUUAAGUCAGGGGUGAAAUAUGAUGGCUCAACCGUCAAACUGCCCCUGAAACUGGCAGGCUUGAGUCCGGGAGAGGUUGGUGGAAUUCCAGGUGUAGCGGUGAAAUGCGUAAAUAUCUGGAGGAACACCGGUGGCGAAGGCGGCCAACUGGCCCGGUACUGACGCUCAGGCACGAAAGCAUGGGGAGCGAACGGNAUUANAUACCCCGGUAGUCCAUGCCGUAAACGAUGGAUACUAGGUGUUGGAGGAGUCUACCCCUUCAGUGCCGCAGCUAACGCAUUAAGUAUCCCACCUGGGGAGUACGAUCGCAAGGUUGAAACUCAAAGGAAUUGACGGGGGCCCGCACAAGCGGUGGAGNAUGUGGUUUAAUUCGAUGCAACGCGAAGAACCUUACCUGGGCUUGACAUGCAGGGGACAGGUGUAGAAAUACAUCUUUCUUCGGACUUCUGUACAGGUGCUGCAUGGCUGUCGUCAGCUCGUGUCGUGAAAUGUUAGGUUAAGUCCUGCAACGAGCGCAACCCCUGUCUUCAGUUGCCAUCAGGUAAUGCUGGGGACUCUGGAGAGACUGCCGGUGACAAACCGGAGGAGGUGGGGACGACGUCAAGUCAUCAUGGCCCUUACGCCCAGGGCUACACACGUGCUACAAUGGUCGGUACAGUGGGCAGCGAUACAGUGAUGUGGAGCGAAUCCCAAAAAGCCGGCCUCAGUUCGGAUCGGAGUCUGCAACUCGACUCCGUGAAGUUGGAAUCGCUAGUAAUCGCGUAUCAGAACGACGCGGUGAAUACGUUCCCGGGCCUUGUACACACCGCCCGUCAAGUCAACCGAGUUGGUUGCACCCCAAGUCGCUGAGCUAACCCGUAAGGGAGGCAGGUGCCCAAGGUGUGAUUGGCGAGGGGGACUAAGUCGUAACAAGGUAACC